UACGUAGGCAGCAAGCGUUGUUCGGAGUUACUGGGCGUAAAGGGUGUGUAGGCGGUUGGAUAAGUGUGGUGUGAAAUCUCCCGGCUCAACUGGGAGGGUGCGCUACAAACUGUCUGACUAGAGUGUGGGAUGGGAAAGUGGAAUUCCUGGUGUAGCGGUGAAAUGCGUAGAUAUCAGGAGGAACACCGGUGGUGCAAACGGCUUUCUGGACCGUAACUGACGCUGAGACACGAAAGCGUGGGGAGCAAACAGG
rnacentral:rRNA from 1 species